GCACCAGCACCGAACCCGGUGGCACGUGAUCGUAUUCCGGGAAACGCGAUUGAAAGAAUGUUGCGUCGAAAGAGAGCAGCGUCGAACGUGUUCGGGGAAGGACGUAAUAUGAGCCCCUACGAACGAUUAUCGCGCAUCCUCGACCGUUAUGCAUACCACCGUAACAGAGCAACAGCGAAUAGAAGGGCAAACUAGAAAGCGGGGAAGAAAUAUAGUGAGCCAGGCGACCGCUAUUCAACGAUAUAUAUGCGAGCCCGUCUAUGUGUACGCGAACGGCAAAGCGAGGCAGUCGGGUGAAACGCAUUCAACUCUCCCGAUGCGAAGAAAAAGUCCGAAAUUUUCAGAUUUUCGCAAAGUUUGAAUUGCGGUCGGCGGUUUCCAGUUUACACAGUUGCAAUCACGGGAAGUUUGAUAAGUCCCUUACGGCCUGAUAAAGCACAACGAGAAUAGGAACAAUGUUUAUGAUAAUAGCCUGUCAUUCUUCUGUUCUUGUUGGCACGUCUUUUAUGGCAACAAUGUCGCCGAAUCUUACGGAUCUCUGCUUAAUUGUGAUCGUAUGACACCGUGUCAACUUCAGGGUCUGUUUGCUUCAUAAAAAGACCAUGCAUUUCUUUUUCACUACAUUAUAUACUAAAAGCUUAAAAAAUGUUGCAUAAUAUGACGUGUACGACAAAGGACAAAAGGAAAUAGUAUACUCUUCUUAUAUUCUUUAUAUAUUAAAAUUAAUACGAAAAAUAUGUAAUUCAUAAAUAAAAUUAAUAAAAAUAUGUUUGUAAA